AAUUCGCCCUUACUCCUACGGGAGGCAGCAGCUAAGAAUAUUCCGCAAUGGACGAAAGUCUGACGGAGCGACGCCGCGUGGAUGAUGAAGGCCGAAAGGUUGUAAAGUCCUUUUGCUGGGGAAGAAUAAGUGUGGGAGGGAAUGCCCGCAUGAUGACAUGAACCGGCGAAUAAGCCCCGGCCAACUACGUGCCAGCAGCCGCGGUAACACGUAGGGGGCGAGCGUUGUUCGGAAUUACUGGGCGUAAAGGGCAUGUAGGCGGUCUGGUAAGCCUGGCGUGAAAGGCCACAGCUCAACUGUGGGAUUGCGUUGGGAACUGCUGGGCUUGAGUUAUGGAGAGGGAGCUAGAAUUCCUGGUGUAGGGGUGAAAUCUGUAGAUAUCAGGAAGAAUACCGAUGGCGAAGGCAAGCUCCUGGCCGAUGACUGACGCUGAGGUGCGAAAGUGUGGGGAUCAAACAGGAUUAGAUACCCUGGUAGUCCACACUGUAAACGAUGUGCACUAGGUGCUGGGGCGGUAGCUUCAGUGCCGGAGCGAACGUGGUAAGUGCACCGCCUGGGGAGUAUGCUCGCAAGGGUGAAACUCAAAGGAAUUGACGG
rnacentral:rRNA from 1 species